CGGAAACGGAGGUUGCAGUGAGCUGAGACCACGCUGUUGCACUCCAGCCUGGGUGACAGAGUGAGACUGUGUCUCAAAAAAAAAAAAAAAAGUGGUCAUACAAAUGUGAGUGAGUAGCCAAAGAUCUAGUUAACUGUAAUGAUCCAAACUCCUCUUUCAUUCAAAUAGAUCCCACCAAAUAUUUUGGUUGUGAGCUGGGAGCACAGACCCAGUUUGAUGUUAAGAAUGACCGUUACAUUGUCAAUGGAUCUCAUGAGGCGAAUAAGCUGCAAGACAUGUUGGAUGGAUUCAUUAAAAAAUUUGUUCUCUGUCCUGAAUGUGAGAAUCCUGAAACAGAUUUGCAUGUCAAUCCAAAGAAGCAAACAAUAGGUAAUUCUUGUAAAGCCUGUGGCUAUCGAGGCAUGCUUGACACACAUCAUAAACUCUGCACAUUCAUUCUCAAAAACCCACCUGAGAAUAGUGACAGUGGUACAGGAAAGAAAGAAAAAGAAAAGAAAAAUAGAAAGGGCAAAGACAAGGAAAAUGGCUCCGUAUCCAGCAGUGAGACACCACCACCACCACCACCACCAAAUGAAAUUAGUCCUCCUCCACAUACAAUGGAAGAAGAGGAGGAUGAUGACUGGGGAGAAGAUACAACUGAGGAAGCUCAAAGGCGUCGAAUGGAUGAAAUCAGUGACCAUGCAAAAGUUCUGACACUCAGUGAUGAUUUGGAAAGA
rnacentral:sRNA from 1 species